AUGGAGAAACAGUUUUGCCAGUCAUCAUUUCACUUAGAAAAGGAGCAUUCAGGGAAACAGUGAUGCGCAGUGCUGCAGAAUCUAAAAUACCUAUAAUUCGAUUUAAGAAACACACAUAUGAUGUGACUGUUUUGACACGUGUGAAGUAUACUAACGAUGAGAAGUCAGUAAAGAUGACAGAACAUAUCACAAAUGUUAAGAACCCAUGGAAUGUCCAGAAAUCGAAAUCAAAGAUUUAUGAUUUAGGACGACGUUAUGAUAAAGAGGAUGAUCCAGACGAAAUAGCGUUCAUCUCAGAGGGUCCAUCUGAAUACAAAGAUAACUUAGAUGCUAUAAUAUGCUGUUUGAUAAUCGGAGUGUCGAUGGAAAGCAAGUCUCAGGAAAAAAGAAUUUAU